GAUGAACGCUGGCGGCGUGCCUAAUACAUGCAAGUCGAGCGAACGGACGCGACGCUUGCUUCUCUGAUGUUAGCGGCGGACGGGUGUGUAACACGUGGAUAACCUACCUAUCAGACUGGGAUAACUUCGGGAAACCGGCGCUAAUCCCGUAUAAUCUUUUGCACCGCAUUGUUCAAAAGUGAAAUACGGUCUUUCUGUCUCUUAUAGAUGGAUCCGCGCUGCAUUAGCUAGUUGGUAAGUUAACGGCUUACCAAGGCAACGAUGCAUAGCCGACCUGACAGAGGGAUCGGCCACACUGGAGCGGGAACACGGUCCAGGCGCCUAAGAGAGGCAGCAGUAGGGAAUCUGACGCAAUGGGGGAAAGCCUGUCGGAGCAACGCGGCGUGAGUGAUGAAGGCGUUCGGAGCGUAAAACUCGGUUAUGAGGGAAGAACAGAUGUGUAAGGAACUGUGCACAGCGUGACGGUACCUAACCAGAAAGCCACGGCUAACUACGUG
rnacentral:rRNA from 1 species